CAACGCCGCGUGAGGGACGAAGGCCUCUGGGCUGUAAACCUCUUUUCUCAAGGAAGAAGACAUGACGGUACUUGAGGAAUAAGCCACGGCUAAUUCCGUGCCAGCAGCCGCGGUAAUACGGGAGUGGCAAGCGUUAUCCGGAAUUAUUGGGCGUAAAGCGUCCGCAGGCGGCCUUGAAAGUCUGUUGUUAAAGAGUGGAGCUCAACUCCAUUYCAGCAAUGGAAACUACAAGGCUAGAGUGUGGUAGGGGCAGAGGGAAUUCCCGGUGUAGCGGUGAAAUGCGUAGAUAU
rnacentral:rRNA from 1 species